GAUGAACGCUGGCGGCGUGCCUAAUACAUGCAAGUCGAGCGAACAGACGAGGAGCUUGCUCCUUUGACGUUAGCGGCGGACGGGUGAGUAACACGUGGAUAACCUACCUAUAAGACUGGGAUAACUUCGGGAAACCGGAGCUAAUACCGGAUAACAUGUUGAACCGCAUGGUUCAACAGUGAAAGACGGUCUUGCUGUCACUUAUAGAUGGAUCCGCGCCGCAUUAGCUAGUUGGUAAGGUAACGGCUUACCAAGGCAACGAUGCGUAGCCGACCUGAGAGGGUGAUCGGCCACCCUGGAACUGAGACCCGGUCCAGACUCCUACGGGAGGCAGCAGUAGGGAAUCUUCCGCAAUGGGCGAAAGCCUGACGGAGCAACGCCGCGUGAGUGAAGAAGGUCUUCGGAUCGUAAAACUCUGUUAUUAGGGAAGAACAAAUGUGUAAGUAACUAUGCACGUCUUGACGGUACCUAAUCAGAAAGCCACGGCUAACUACGUG
rnacentral:rRNA from 1 species